rnacentral:rRNA from 1 species
UCCCGCAACGAGCGCAACCCUUGUCCGCUGUUGCCAUCAGGUUACGCUGGGCACUCUGCGGAGACUGCCGGUGAUAAACCGGAGGAAGGUGGGGAUGACGUCAAGUCAGCAUGGCCUUUAUGUCUGGGGCUACACACGUGCUACAAUGGCAGAUACAAACCGUCGCGAGACCGCAAGGUGGAGCUAAUCGGAGAAAGUCUGUCUCAGUUCGGAUUGCAGGCUGCAACGGAGCCUGCAUGAAGUUGGAAUCGCUAGUAAUCGCGGAUCAGCACGCCGCGGUGAAUACGUUCCCGGCCCUUACAGCCGCCCGUCACAUCACGAAAGCUGGCUGUACUUAGCUGCGGAGCUAACCCGCAAGGGAGGCAGGCGCCUAAGGUA